AUUGAACGCUGGCGGCAUGCUUUACACAUGCAAGUCGAACGGCAGCGCGGGCUUCUGCCUUGCUGCGAGUGUCGAACGGGUGAGUAUUACAUCGGAACGUUCCCCGUAUUGGGGGAUAGCUCGCCGAAAGCAGGAUUAAUACCGCAUACUACCUGAUGCUGAAAGCGGUUGAUCUUCUGACAUCGCGCUCUUUCAGCGGCCGCUGGCAGAUCAGCGAGUUUGUGGGUUAAAGGCCUACCAAGGCGACGAUCUGUAGCUGGGCUGAGUGGGCGACGAGCCACACUGGGACUGAGACACGGCCCAGAGUCCUAGGGGAGGCAGCAGUGGGGAAUGUUGGAAAAAGGGCGAAAGCUUGCUCAAGGAAUGACGGGUGUGUGAUGAAGGCCCUCGGGUUGGAAAGCACUUUUGGCGGGAAAGAAAAGGACUGUGCCAAAACAACGGUUAGAUGAGGGUACCCGAAGAAUAAGCACCGGUUACCUACGU
rnacentral:rRNA from 1 species